UCAAGUCCCUAGAUGGCAUGCUGGUGAAC
rnacentral:piRNA from 1 species